AGUUUUCUGAAAAAUAACUAAAGCAUGACUCAAGAGGUAGACAUCUGCCUAGAAACAGGAGGCCCUAAGUUCAAACAUCAGUACAGAAAAAAAAAUCAGAUGCAAGCCUGUUUUUGGAGGAAGGAAGUAAUGACAUCAGUUCUAUCCACAGCUGAAUGAGUUUCACUUCUAAACAAACUAUCUAAAAGCAGGUCACACUGGCCCUAAACAAAGGCUCCUGUACAUACACACACACACACACACACACACACACACACACACACACAUAUACACACAAUACACACACAUGCACACACCUAUCUCCCUGUACUACCUACUCAGGGCAAACAGCAAGCAAUCUGGGCAUUGAGGCUGGGAACCACUGGGGUAGAAAAGAAGCAAAGGCAGAGAAGCCAAAUUGAAAACAUAGUUGCAAUACUUAUGUGGUAGACAGGUGGCCUACAACCAGAAGAUCAUUAUUUCCCAUGGACAACAAUAGUCAACAAAAUCUUCACAAGACUCCCGGGGCUGAGGGUGCAGUUUAGGGUAAAGCACUUGCAUAGCAUGUGUAAAGUAGUAAGUAUAAUGUCCUGUACCACAAAAAUUCUAUUUCUCUUAAGUGUAGGCCAGAACCCAAGUUUUGUUCCUUGUAUGAUGCCAUCAUUG